GGAACUGGAGGUAACAGUCUACAGCCAUGGUCGCCCCGCAGCACGCCCACGCGCCGCGCCACGCCGCGCCCCGAGCCGCGGGCUGGGGACGCGGAGCAGAAGGAGGCGGGGGCGGCGAGUCAAGAUCCCACGUGCCCGCGCGGGUGGCAGGAGGUGCUGCGCAGGGAGGCGGCCUCCCGGGGCCGGCGGCUGAGUCCACCGAGGCUCGAGCGCGCGCGUCCUGCGGAGUGCGUCUGGCGGCCAGCCUGAGGCCGUCCUGUCCUCCCGGCCAAGGAGGAUAAGAAGGGUCCCCAACCCUCUGGAAGCCAAUGAGCUUGUAAAGUUAACCUGGUCCGCGAAGCGUCUGAACAGAUCAGCCUGCUCACCUCAGCCUAUCUCUAGGUGCUGGAUUCCAAUCUGAGACAGUUUCUCAAAUUAGCCCUAAAGAGGAGUGAAUACCACAGGGGCUGAAGUCCUCUGGUGCGGAUGAAGUGUGAACAAGGAUCUCUAAAAAUAUUAUUGUAUAUGUCGCCUGCCUCUGCCAACAUCACCCACUACAGGGGAUGUCUAUUGAAUAUCAGGUGCACUGUGAGGAUUAAAUAGGAUCAUCAGCCUGUCCGAGGACUCACAACUGGAGACACCUCCCUGCUUGGCGCUGCCCAGAAAACUAUGUAGAUGGCCAAGAAACCGACUUCCAUUAUAAAAUGUUUUUCUGUGUGUACCAGGAAAAAGAUGC
rnacentral:lncRNA from 1 species